UGACGACGGGGGGGGCUUGCUCCUUAGGUCAGCGGCGGACGGGUGAGUAACACGUGGGUAACCUGCCUGUAAGACUGGGAUAACUCCGGGAAACCGGGGCUAAUACCGGAUGCUUGAUUGAACCGCAUGGUUCAAUCAUAAAAGGUGGCUUUUAGCUACCACUUACAGAUGGACCCGCGGCGCAUUAGCUAGUUGGUGAGGUAACGGCUCACCAAGGCGACGAUGCGUAGCCGACCUGAGAGGGUGAUCGGCCACACUGGGACUGAGACACGGCCCAGACUCCUACGGGAGGCAGCAGUAGGGAAUCUUCCGCAAUGGACGAAAGUCUGACGGAGCAACGCCGCGUGAGUGAUGAAGGUUUUCGGAUCGUAAAACUCUGUUGUUAGGGAAGAACAAGUACCGUUCGAAUAGGGCGGCACCUUGACGGUACCUAACCAGAAAGCCACGGCUAACUACGUGCCAGCAGCCGCGGUAAUACGUAGGUGGCAAGCGUUGUCCGGAAUUAUUGGGCGUAAAGCGCGCGCAGGCGGUUUCUUAAGUCUGAUGUGAAAGCCCCCGGCUCAACCGGGGAGGGUCAUUGGAAACUGGGGAACUUGAGUGCAGAAGAGGAGAGUGGAAUUCCACGUGUAGCGGUGAAAUGCGUAGAGAUGUGGAGGAACACCAGUGGCGAAGGCGACUCUCUGGUCUGUAACUGACGCUGAGGCGCGAAAGCGUGGGGGAGCGAACAGGAUUAGAUACCCUGGUAGUCCACGCCGGUAACGAUGAGUGCUAAGUGUUAGGAGGGUUUCCGCCCUUUAGUGCUGCAGCAAACGCAUUAAGGCACUCCCGCCUUGGGGAGUACGGUCGCAAGGACUGAAAACUCAAAAGGGAAUUUGACCGGGGGCCCGGCACAAGCGGUUGGGAAGCAAUGGUGGGGUUUUAAAUUCCAAAGCA
rnacentral:rRNA from 1 species